rnacentral:SRP_RNA from 1 species
GCCAGACGCGGUGACGCAUGCCUGUAGUCCCAGCUACUCAGGAGGCUGAGGCUGGCGGAUCACUUGAGUCCAAGAGUUCUGGGCUGUAGUGCACUAUGCUGAUCAGAUGUCUGCACUAAGUUGGGCAUCAAUAUGGUGAUCUCCGGGGAGUGGGGGACUACCAGGUUGCCUAAGGAGGGGUCAACCAGCCCAGGUCAGAAAUGGAGCAGGUCAAAACUCCCAUGCUGAUCAGUAGCGGGAUCGCGCCUGUGAACAGCCACUGUACUCCAGCCUGGGCAACAUAGCGAGACCCUGUCUCU